rnacentral:rRNA from 1 species
GAUGAACGCUGGCGGCGUGCCUAAUACAUGCAAGUCGAGCGAACAGAUAAGGAGCUUGCUCCUUUGACGUUAGCGGCGGACGGGUGAGUAACACAUGGGUAACCUACCUAUAAGACUGGAAUAACUCCGGGAAACCGGGGCUAAUGCCGGAUAACAUUUAGAACCGCAUGGUUCUAAAGUGAAAGAUGGUUUUGCUAUCACUUAUAGAUGGACCCGCGCCGUAUUAGCUAGUUGGUAAGGUAACGGCUUACCAAGGCAACGAUACGUAGCCGACCUGAGAGGGUGAUCGGCCACACUGGAACUGAGACACGGUCCAGACUCCUACGGGAGGCAGCAGUAGGGAAUCUUCCGCAAUGGGCGAAAGCCUGACGGAGCAACGCCGCGUGAGUGAUGAAGGUCUUCGGAUCGUAAAACUCUGUUAUUAGGGAAGAACAAAUGUGUAAGUAACUGUGCACGUCUUGACGGUACCUAAUCAGAAAGCCACGGCUAACUACGUG